rnacentral:lncRNA from 1 species
CAGGUAUGUAUGUAUAUGUGUAUAUAUGUGUGUAUAUACACACACAUGCAUACACGUACAUACCUGUAUAUGCAUAUAUAUAUGUGUGUAUAUAUAUAAUAGAAGGUAUGUCUCAUGCAAUAUUUGGGAUAUACUUGUAUUGAAAAAUUACUUGUUUAUUGAAGAAUCAAAUUUAACUGGGCCCUGUAUUUUUAUUUGCUAAUUUGGCAACUUAGGGGUUCUGGUUAAAAAACAUUUCUUACAUUGCAUAGAUAAUAAACAGCCUAAAGAAGUUUGGGAAUGGUUACACAGGGGCCCUUCAUGCUUCCAUGUCAGUGCCUAAGUACUUAACCCGAUGUGGUAGUUGUGAGCAUCUGUUCUUUCAUUAAGCACAUUUGCAGUACAGAACCCAGUAUGUAAUUUGUAAAAGCACAAAUUAAGCCUAUCUUCCUCUCUCUCCAGAGAGAAGUUCUCUCUUAGGAAAAAAAAAAAAAAUUACCUGCAGUAGUGAGUUUUCAUGGCGAAUAUCUUCUGGAAUGCCAUUGGCAUGCACUGAUUCUUCUUGAGGAUCCUCUCUCCCAACCAGCAGAACCAGGUUGUAAAAUCUGGAGAAACUGCUUGAAAGGACUAGGCUUCUCUUUAUAGGCCCCAGAAGGGAGGACAGAGGCACUUCCCAAGACCCUUUAUUGUCCUUUGCCUCCAGUACCCAAGUGUUUGUGUGGCUCCUGCUGGUGUUUUGCUGAGCCUGUCUGGAAGGGCAAAUUGCUUUUGGAUGCAUUUCUACUUAAUAUAUUCAUCAUCACAUUUUGUUUGUUCAUUUUCUAUAAAAAGAAAAGAUAAAAGAUCUCCACUGGGCUGACCUUAAUUUUAAUUUUUCAAAGUGAUGACAUUACAAAAAUCAUCUAUAACAUGAUGUCAUACUCGUCUCCUGACAUCUGUUAUGUUGGGGAAGUCUUGCAAACACAGCUAAUCAGGAUUGUCUAUUUUUAAGUCUUCAGAUGCUGGAUCUGGCACUAAAUACUGGUUCUUUACAAGUGUGUACAGGUAUGGGGUAAAUUGUGUAAAUCAAUUACUAAAAACAUUCACUACUUCAGAGCACUACUUAUAAAAUCUGGCCAAGUGCCAGGUGGUUGUCACACACAUCAGAAGAUUGAUUAUCUACCUAACUAUUCUUUUUGGUUUCUUUUACCAUAAUGAGUUACACACACCAUCCAUGUCUAUUCCUUAUACUGUUACCUUACAUUGUUUUCUCACAUUUACAUCCAUAUGAUCACAUAUAAUCUUUUCUAAAUGCCCAGGACUAAUAUACCUGGAUUAGUGCUGAUGCCGAGAUCACCUGGUCGUGGCUGAGUGGGUCUAGAGAGAUCUGGCUUACUUUUCUGAGGUCACUUAUCAUACAUUGGCUCUUAAGAGUUUAAACCUACUGUGCUUUAAAGCUGUAGGUUUGCUCACUAUGAACCAAGGCAGAAGGAUGCUAAGUCUGUUAUUAUAUCAAUAAUGGGUCUGAUAUAGACUGAGGAUUCAUAUUAACUCCACAUGCCUCCAAAAAGGCAACCUAGAGUCAUGACUAAUACAUGGAAAUUGGUGCCUCCACCCGCAGCUGACCCUUUGGUCUCUUAAGAAAAGAAACUAGAACUUUUUAAGGUCUGAGAUCAAGAUCUUACUUUUUUUGUUUAGUAAGUAUUUAGCAAAUAUUUUUGAAAUAAUUUUCCAUGAGAAGCAUGAACAUGAGCUACAUGAUUGAGUAAGGAUGUAAUUGUAGCUUCCACUUGCCUCUCAACAUGGAAAUGCUAGAAGUUUUACUUACAGGGUUCAAAAACAUGUAUACAGUCAUCCCUCUGUAUCUGUGAAGGAUUGAUUCCAGGACCCUUCACGGAUACCAAAAUCUGCAGAUGCUCAAGUCUCUGACAUAAAAUGGCAUAGCAUUUGCAUAUAACUUAUGCAUAUUCUCCUAUAUACUUUAAAUUAUCUCUAGAUUACUUAUAUUACCUAAUACAAUGUAAAUAGUUCUUUUACUGUAUUGUUUAGGGAAUAACAACAAAAAAAAAUUCUGUACUUAUUCAAGGCAGACACAUUUUUUCCUCCUAAUAGCUUUGACCUGUGGUUGUUUGAAUCCACAGAUAUGGAACCCACGGAUAUGAAUAGCCGACUGCAUUAAGGUGCUACCUGGAGCAGUGUUUCUCAAACUUGAGUGUGCAUUAGAAUCCCUGGAGUUCUUACUAAAACAGAUUCCUGGGUCUGACCAACAGAGUUUCUCAUUCAGUAGGUUUGGUAAAGAGCCCAAGAACAUACAUUUCUAACAAGCUCCCAAGUGAUUCCAAUGCUGCACUGGUCUGAUCCACACAUCUCAGACCACUGACCUUCACACCUCUGGAGACACUAGGGCAUCUGGAGAUGGAUGAGAACAUUUUGGGUUAACCACAUGAAAUGGAACUUUAAAGUCUCUCCUCCAAUGAAAAAGUACAUGCUGUGGGCUCUGUCUGGCCUUCUUUUUCUUGGGAAUGGACACCAAAAAGUAAAGGCAGCCUUUCCUCUUGGAUAAGAGAUGAUCAUGUUCAAAUCACAGUGAGCAUUUACCAAUCACUUCUUAAAGGACAGAAAUACAAAAAUAAUCAAGACACUUACCCUGAGCUUGGUAAGCUCAAAGUGCAGGGUCUCAAAAGCUGUAAGGAGUAGGGAAGUUUACAAGCUAUGAACGAAGAGAUAGUCCUGCUGUUUUUGACCCUCUGGCCCCAGAACUCUGGACCCAACCAGCCUAGGUCUUUGAUACUCACCCAAGCUGUUCUGCCACAGUGGUCUUUGGUACUUCUGUGUCAUCCCUCCAGCCUCACCUAUCUUCUCCGAGUUGACCCCAUUGCCUCUGGCACUCUUACUAGUAAUAUUAAUGAUCAAUAUUGUCCUUCCCAUUUAUUGAGCUUCAUCUAUAUGACAGACCUUGUGUAUAUGCUUUAAUUUCACAGCAACUCAAAAAAAUUGGGUGAUUUUAUCUCGCUGAACAUAUUGGCAAACUGAGGCCCAGAGUGAUUAAAUGAUCUGGCCACAGCCAUGCAAUUGGGGUGGGUGCAGAGCUGGACUUUAAAGCUUGUUUUGCUACACAUCUGAGCCACUAAGUCACACACUCUUAGCACUUUUCCACAUAGCCAUUUUUUUUUGAGAUUAAGAUUUU